UUUGGAGUCAGUUCAAGGCUGCUUUAAAUCCCGUGUGGCCUUGGGUCACUUCCUUAACCUCUCUGAGCUCCAAAGAGCUCCUGGUCUGCAAAACGGGAGCAAAGACCUAAAGGCUGUCAGAUGCAGUCAACGACAAACACACAGAGAUGAUAGCACCGCCUGUCGGGGCACACUCCCUCGGUCAGUGUAACAAUCGUUAUUAUUAUUCUCAAUGGCUUCCAGGGGGACUGUCCUUUCUGUCACCGUCCCCUCCAAGAUGUUUCCUGGCUCCUGUUGGGUUUUAAUGUUUCUAAUCUCCUGUUGAUUAUUCCUGGGGUUUCAGCCAAAUAAGCACUUCCAAUUAAAGCCUUCUCCCCAGCUCCAGUUGGGUUGCCAUGGAAACAGGAGCAAGGUUUUUACUUCUUCCCCGGAACACGCCUGCACGUGUGUACAUCUUUCCCAGGGUCUCUGCUCCUGAGGCAGGGAGGCACCAGGAGAAGCCACCCUCUUGUGACCCCACCAGAUCCUGUGCAGCACAGGACGACCACUGAGGCCAUCUUGGGUUCUGGUCCUCCUCCUCCCAGCUCUUCACCUUGUACAAGACCCAGACAGCCCAAGGAUGAUGCAGGUGGCUGGUCAGCAACGGAGCUGGAGCUGGCUCUGUUGGGCCAGCAGGCGGGGGCUGCAGAGCUCCGAGCUCCUCUCGCCAUGGGGACAGAGGGCUAUGCUUGCAUUUUCAGGGUGUGAGCUGGCACCUGUGCAUGUGUGCAUGAAUGUGUAUGCACAAAAGUGUGUGUGCUGCAUGUGGGUGCGCACCUGGCUGCAUGUAUAUAUAUGCACGUGAGUGUGUCAGCGUGUAUACCAUGUAUGUGUGUGCCACGAUGUGUACAGUAAGUACAUUAAGUCAAAGGGCACCUUGUGAGCUGGGCUUUGGAAACUCCACGGGCCUGAGGGGCCACAGCAGGAAGGCUCCACCGGCUGGGGCAGCCCUUUGGGGUGAGGCAGCUGGGGACUUGGGGCCCCGUGGAGAGCUCAGGAGUCUGAAUCCUCCUCUGCGCUCCACACAGCCCCUCUGCUUCCUCUUUCCUGGGGUUCGCUUGACAAGCUAGACUCUUCUCAGACACCCGACAGGUCUCGGCCUGCAUCUGCACUGUGCUGGGGGGACUCAGUUCCUCCAUCGCUGUGGGAGCCGGGCUGUUAACCCCCACGGUCCUGUUCAAACACUGACGCUCCCUGAGUACUUCUGGUCACGUUUGGGAAAUUGACCUUAGACGCCCUCAUGGUGAGUGCACAGCUUUGAAAGCGAUGAGUCUGGUUUCUAAAUGAGCCAGAGAGUCCCCGAGUCCAGGGCCUUGACCAACAGGAGACUGAGGGCCGGAGCUCACUGCGGAGCCCAGUAGCACCUGCAUCUGCUGGGGACGGGCUGCUCCCCUCUACUCCUGGGACCGGUCUCGCAACUCGGGGCCAAAUAGUCGCACACGUCAUUGUGGUGGUCGGGCGGGGUCCAGAUGAGGAGGCUGCUGAGAAGCCGUGGAAAUAGCUGCCCCGGGAAUUAGGGAUUUAUCCAGAUGCCUGUCUCGUGGGCUUCCCCGGCCUUAUCCAAAGUCUCUGGUCACUAGAAUCCUUUUGGGUCCCCACCGGUACCAUGCCCUUCACGGUGGCUGAAAAAUCAAAUAUUCUGCAGUGUGUUUCAAAGCCAGCUCCCGCACAGCUCCACGGAGGCUCACGACACGGCCAGGUAGUUUUCUGUUCUUUGGACAUGUAUUUUCUUCUCCCCCACCUCCUCCUCUUCCUCUCCUCUCUUCCUCUUCUUUCUUCUCCUCCUUCUUCUUUUUGCAGUGUUGAAGACUGAACUCAGGGUCUUACACUACACUACACCAAGCUCUUUAAAUUCUGAGACAGGGCCUCACUAAGGUGCCCAAGCUGAACUCAAACUUGUGAUCCUCCUGCCUCAGUCUCCCGGGAUGCUGGGGUUGCUAGUGUGCACCAGCACACCCAGCUUACCCUAGGUCUCUGCAGGCUGAGGGAGGCCGCCCGGCCGCCCGUUGCUGGGUAGUUAUCUGCGUUAUCCAGAUGUAUCAGUUAGAGAGGCAGAAUCAAUACGGAAUGCGAGUGCCAUUAUACGAAGAGAGUCAGCGGUGGGCUCACAGGAUCCAAGGCCGAGAGUCCGCAAUGGCUGUUCGUGUGGAGAGCUCAGGGUCCAGCAGCUGCUCAGCCCGAGAAGCUGGAAGCCGCAGAACAAGAGGGAUCAAGGACGCAGCAAGGUCACAGGCCUGACAGCUCCUGGGCGCUGCCCUGUGAGUCUGUGUUGGGGCUGAGGAGGCAGGAGGCCGAGGCCCAAAGGUGAGGGCAGCAAAGGACGCGUCCACUCGAGCAAGCUGGCGCUCUUCAGAACCAACACACCUCCUCCUUUCCCCUUUCAUUCCCUCCAGCCCACGAGCCUAUUGGUCAGCCCCUCCUCACAGGGGGCGGGUUUUCCUCCUCCGUUUGCUGCCAGCCUGUCAGUCAUCCACAGACUCCUCAGAACUGUGCUUUAUGAAUCUGCUGAGUGUUUUCUACAUUGGUCAAAUUGGCAUAUUGUGAUUUUUAAAAGAAAAUAGUAUUUGCGGUACAUAAUGAUUACAUUCAUUGUGCAGAGUUGUUACAUGGAUAUAAUAAUGCAUCUGAAUUCUUUUUGUACCUUCUUUCCCUCCUCACCCUCCCUUACCAUUUACAAAAGAUCUAUCUCCCCAGUUUAUAUUGUCUAUCUUUUAUUUUGCUCAUUCAUUUAUUUAUACUUUGGGUUUCUCAAGUGUGAGAAAUCAUGCAAUA